rnacentral:rRNA from 1 species
AUGAACGCUGGCGGCGUGCUUAACACAUGCAAGUCGAACGGACCUAAUCUUUCGGGGUUGGGUUAGUGGCAGACGGGUGCGUAACACGUGGGUGACCUGCCCUGGAGUGGGGAAUAAUCUUACGAAAGUGAGACUAAUACCGCAUAGGCUUAGUGAUGCGAGUUACUGAGUAAAGCCUUUGGGUGCUCUGGGAUGGGCCUGCGGCGGAUUAGGUAGUUGGUGGGGUAAAGGCCUACCAAGCCGAUGAUCCGUAGGGGGCGUGAGAGCGUGGCCCCCCACACUGGCACUGAGAAACGGGCCAGACUCCUACGGGAGGCAGCAGUGAGGAAUAUUGCACAAUGGGCGGAAGCCUGAUGCAGCAACGCCGCGUGAGGGACGAAGGCCUUCGGGUUGUAAACCUCUUUUCUGGGGGAAGAGACAAGGACGGUACCCCAGGAAUAAGUCUCGGCUAACUACGU